AUUGAACGCUGGCGGCAUGCCUUACACGUGCAAGUCGAACGGUAACAGGUUAAGCUGACGAGUGGCGAACGGGUGAGUAAUAUAUCGGAACGUGCCCAAUCGUGGGGGAUAACGCAGCGAAAGCUGUGCUAAUACCGCAUACGAUCUACGGAUGAAAGCGGGGGAUCGCAAGACCUCGCGCGAUUGGAGCGGCCGAUAUCAGAUUAGCUAGUUGGUGAGGUAAAGGCUUACCAAGGCUACGAUCUGUAGCUGGUCUGAGAGGACGACCAGCCACACUGGAACUGAGACACGGUCCAGACUCCUACGGGAGGCAGCAGUGGGGAAUUUUGGACAAUGGGCGCAAGCCUGAUCCAGCAAUGCCGCGUGCAGGAUGAAGGCCUUCGGGUUGUAAACUGCUUUUGUACGGAGCGAAACGGCUUACUCUAAUACAGUGAGCUAAUGACGGUACCGUAAGAAUAAGCACCGGCUAACUACGUGCCAGCCGCCGCGGUAACAC
rnacentral:rRNA from 1 species